CCCCUUCACUUCCCUCCGCAGGUGGAGCCCCGCGCCCUGCCAGGCCCCACAGCGCUGCGUGUCCCCGGUUGUCCCCAACCCGUCACCUUCGGCGUCCUGGUCACCUUCGCCUACCCCGUGGAGGGGGGGGACGGCCUGGAGCUGCCGGUGGCCACCACGCGCCCCGAGACGAUGCUGGGGGACGUGGCCGUGGCCGUGCACCCCCAGGACCCCCGCUACACGGGGCAGUGAAGGUGACACCAGGACACAGCCCCCCUGACCUGGCGCUGGCCCGUGCCCGGGGGCUGCCCCUGCUCUCCGUCAUCGGGGACGAUGGCACCAUGUGUCCCCCGGGGGGGGGGGGGCUCCAGGUACCGUGUCCCUGUGUCCCCUCCAUGUCCCUGGGCCCCCCCCGGUCCC
rnacentral:lncRNA from 1 species